AUUGAAUUAACAAUAAUAAAUGCACUGACAAAUAGGUUUGUUUUUCCUAUAUUAAUUUAGGAAUGACUGCCAGCAAAAAACCUGGGAACCGAGAAUGCAAUCAUCCUUGUAAAAGUAAACAUACAUGUGGACAUAACUGCUAAUAAAAUCUGAAGUGUAACCUAAAGAAUCUGAAGCUUCUUUUCAUAGGUAAAAUUGGAAUUGCACAGAAGUGAGAAAUUAAAGAGUCAACAAUUUCUUCAUAUUUAUCUGAUUUAAGAAACAGGAACGCUGUUUCAUCUGUUCCUACAGUUAAACGUCUGAAGAUACAGAUGAGUAAAUCUCAAAGUGUGGACCUUAAAGAGUUUGGUUUUACUCCAAAACCUUCCCUUCCUAGUAUAUCGAGGUCAGAAUAUUUAAACAUAUCUGAAUUUCCUAUAAUGGAGCAGUGGGAUCAGCCUGAAAUCUAUGGAAAAGUUAGACAAGAACCAUCUGAAUAUCAAGACAAAGGUAAAUUACCAUUGAUACUUACUUGAGAGAGUAAAUGGCUUAUUACUACUUUGAAUUGACAAGUAGUGUUAUUGAAACACCAGCAUCUGAAAUUAUUGUAAUUAUUAACUUGGCAACAUUUUUCUCUUAGAUUACGGAAUCAUUUUCAAAUUCUUAGGUCUGUUAUUCAG
rnacentral:lncRNA from 10 species